rnacentral:tRNA from 1 species
CAGUGUAUAGUUUAAUUAAAAAUUUAAUUUUUGGGGGAUUAUGAUGAAGUUUAUUUUUAUACUGA